rnacentral:rRNA from 1 species
GAUGAACGCUAGCUACAGGCUUAACACAUGCAAGUCGCGGGGCAGCAUGGGGGUUGCUUGCAAUCCCCGAUGGCGGCCGGCGCACGGGUGAGUAACGCGUAUCCAACCUGCCCUUCACCACGGGAUAACCCGGCGAAAGUCGGACUAAUACCGUAUGUUGUCCAUUGACGGCAUCCGAUUUGGACGAAAGGCUUGGCGGUGAGGGAUGGGGAUGCGCCCGAUUAGCCAGACGGCGGGGUAACGGCCCACCGUGGCUACGAUCGGUAGGGGUUCUGAGAGGAAGGUCCCCCACACUGGAACUGAGACACGGUCCAGACUCCUACGGGAGGCAGCAGUGAGGAAUAUUGGUCAAUGGGCGUAAGCCUGAACCAGCCAAGUAGCGUGCAGGAUGACGGCCCUAUGGGUUGUAAACUGCUUUUAUGCGGGGAUAAAGUGGCCCACGUGUGGGCUUUUGCAGGUACCGCAUGAAUAAGGACCGGCUAAUUCCGUG